AACUCCUGGGUACAAUCCAAGAAAGAUCAGCCUGCAAAAAGGAUAUUUUUCUCUAACAAGCCAUAUUUACCAAGCGAGACGCCUGCUGGACUAAAAGCAUUAAGAGAAAAAGAACUAAAAGAUAUCAGGGGUGAUGGCAAAGGAGAGAGAAAAUUAUCAGACAGGAUUUAUGACUUUGAUGUCUACAAUGAUUUGGGAAAUCCUGACAGGGGUGUUGAGCUUACCAGGCCAAAACUGGGAGGUAAAAACAUUCCAUAUCCAAGACGGUGUCGCACUGGCCGUCGUCCAACUGAUACAGAUAUAAAUGCAGAGAGUCGUGUAGAGAAGCCCUUGCCAAUGUAUGUACCUAGAGAUGAACAAUUUGAGGAGUCUAAGCAAAAAACAUUCUCAGCUGGGAGGCUUAAGGCAGUGCUUCACAGUCUAAUACCAUCCUUAAAGGCCACCAUUUCUUCUGAGAACCGCGACUUUAAUGCGUUUUCAGACAUUGAUAUUCUCUACAAAGAGGGGCUGCUUCUCAAAGUAGGGCUUCAAGAUGAAAUCUGGAG
rnacentral:misc_RNA from 1 species